rnacentral:rRNA from 1 species
CUACAGAGGGUGCGAGCGUUAAUCGGAAUUACUGGGCGUAAAGCGCGCGUAGGCGGCUUAUUAAGUCAGAUGUGAAAUCCCAGGGCUCAACCUUGGAACUGCAUCUGAUACUGGUAAGCUAGAGUUUAGGAGAGGGAAGUAGAAUUUCAGGUGUAGCGGUGAAAUGCACAGAGAUCUGAAGGAAUACCAGUGGCGAAGGCGACUUCCUGGCCUAAAACUGACGCUGAGGUGCGAAAGCGUGGGUAGCAAACGGGAUUAGAAACCCUAGUAGUCC